rnacentral:rRNA from 1 species
AGACCCGAAACCCGGUGAUCUAGCCAUGGGCAGGUUGAAGGUUGGGUAACACUAACUGGAGGACCGAACCGACUAAUGUUGAAAAAUUAGCGGAUGACCUGUGGCUGGGGGUGAAAGGCCAAUCAAACCGGGAGAUAGCUGGUUCUCCCCGAAAGCUAUUUAGGUAGCGCCUCGUGAAUUCAUCUCCGGGGGUAGAGCACUGUUUCGGCUAGGGGGCCAUCCCGGCUUACCAACCCGAUGCAAACUGCGAAUACCGGAGAAUGUUAUCACGGGAGACACACGGCGGGUGCUAACGUCCGUCGUGAAGAGGGAAACAACCCAGACCGCCAGCUAAGGUCCCAAAGUCAUGGUUAAGUGGGAAACGAUGUGGGAAGGCCCAGACAGCCAGGAUGUUGGCUUAGAAGCAGCCAUCAUUUAAAGAAAGCGUAAUAGCUCACUGGUCGAGUCGGCCUGCGCGGAAGAUGUAACGGGGCUAAACCAUGCACCGAAGCUGCGGCAGCGACGCUUAUGCGUUGUUGGGUAGGGGAGCGUUCUGUAAGCCUGUGAAGGUGUGUCGUGAGGCAUGCUGGAGGUAUCAGAAGUGCGAAUGCUGACAUAAGUAACGAUAAAGCGGGUGAAAAGCCCGCUCGCCGGAAGACCAAGGGUUCCUGUCCAACGUUAAUCGGGGCAGGGUGAGUCGACCCCUAAGGCGAGGCCGAAAGGCGUAGUCGAUGGGAAACGGGUUAAUAUUCCCGUACUUGGUGUUACUGCGAAGGGGGGACGGAGAAGGCUAUGUUGGCCGGGCGACGGUUGUCCCGGUUUAAGCGUGUAGGUGUGUGUUCCAGGUAAAUCCGGUUCACUUUAACACUGAGGCGUGACGACGAGGCACUACGGUGCUGAAGCAACAAAUGCCCUGCUUCCAGGAAAAGCCUCUAAGCAUCAGGUAACAUC